UGAAUACGAGAUGCUACGGCGUCGAAGCAGUGUAUGUCAGACUUCCAAGAAAAGCUCGCAAUGUCAUAAAUAAAGAAUGCCUGUACCAUAACCGACCAGGUGGGUAGGUAGAGUAUACUAAGGGGCGCGAGAUAACUCUCUCUAAGGAACUCGGCAAAAUGACUCCGUAACUUCGGGAGAAGGAGUGCCUUAUUUAUAAGGUUGCAAUAACAAGAUCCAAGCAACUGUUUAUCAAAAACACAGGUCUCCGCUAAGUCGUAAGACGAUGUAUGGGGGCUGACGCCUGCCCAGUGCCAGAAGGUUAAAGAAGUUGGUUAGUGUAUGCGAAGCUGAUGUCUGAAGCCCUGGUGAACAGCGGCCGUAACAAUAACGGUCCUAAGGUAGCGAAAUUCCUUGUCGGGUAAGUUCCGACCCGCACGAAAGGCGUAAUGAUUUGGAUACUGUCUCGGAGAGAGGCUCGGUGAAAUAGACUUGUCUGUGAAGAUGCGGACUACCUGCACCAGGACAGAAAGACCCUAUGAAGCUUUACUGUAACUUGAAAUUGGAAUUGGACUUUGCUUGCGCAGUAUAGGUGGGAAGCGUUGAAGAUAUUCUUGCGGGAGUAUUGGAGCUAUCAGUGAGAUACCACUCUUGUAAUGUUAGAUUUCUAACUUUGAACCAUAAUCUGGUCAAAGAACAGUUUCAGGUGGCCAGUUUGACUGGGGCGGUCGCCUCCCAAAUGGUAACGGAGGCGUACAAAGGUUUCCUCUGAACGGAUAGAAAUCGUAUCUAGAGUGUAAAGGCAUAAGGAAGCUUGACUGUGAGACCUACAAGUCGAGCAGGGACGAAAGUCGGUCUUAGUGAUCUGACGGUACUGAGUGGAAAGGCCGUCACUCAACGGAUAAAAGUUACUCUAAGGAUAACAGGCUGAUCUCCCCCAAGAGUUCACAUCGACGGGGAGGUUUGGCACCUCGAUGUCGGCUCAUCGCAUCCUGGGGCGGUAGUACGUCCCAAGGGUUGGGCUGUUCGCCCAUGAAAGCGGUACGCGAGCUGGGUUCAGAACGUCGUGAGACAGUUCGGUCCAUAUCCGGUGUAGGCGUUAGAAUAUUGAGAGGAGCCUUCUUAGUACGAGAGGACCGAGAAGGACACACCGCUGGUGUACCAGUUAUCGUGCCAACGGUAAACGCUGGGUAGCUAUGUGUGGAGUGGAUAACCGCUGAAAGCAUCUAAGUGGGAAGCCCACCUCAAGAUGAGUAUUCGC
rnacentral:rRNA from 1 species